ACGGGUGAGUAACACGUGGGUGAUCUGCCCUGCACUUUGGGAUAAGCCUGGGAAACUGGGUCUAAUACCGAAUACACCCUGCUGGUCGCAUGGCCUGGUGGGGGAAAGCUUUUGCGGUGUGGGAUGGGCCCGCGGCCUAUCAGCUUGUUGGUGGGGUGAUGGCCUACCAAGGCGACGACGGGUAGCCGGCCUGAGAGGGUGACCGGCCACACUGGGACUGAGAUACGGCCCAGACUCCUACGGGAGGCAGCAGUGGGGAAUAUUGCACAAUGGGCGCAAGCCUGAUGCAGCGACGCCGCGUGAGGGACGACGGCCUUCGGGUUGUAAACCUCUUUCAGCACAGACGAAGCGCAAGUGACCGUAUGUGCAGAAAAAGGACCGGCCAACUACGUGCCAGCAGCCUCGGUAAUACGUAGGGUCCGAGCGUUGUCCGGAAUUACUGGGCGUAAAGAGCUCGUAGGUGGUUUGUCGCGUUGUUCGUGAAGACUCACAGCUUAACUGUGGGGAAUGCGGGCUAUACAGGCAGACUGGAGUACUGCAGGGGAGACUGGAAUUCCUGGUGUAG
rnacentral:rRNA from 1 species